rnacentral:rRNA from 1 species
GUCUACAGCCAUGCCACCCUGAACAUGCUCGAUCUCAUCUGAUCUCGGAAGCUAAGCAGGGUCAGGCCUGGUUAGUUCUUGAUUGGGAGACCACCUAGGAAUACCAGGUGUCGUAGGUG